CGUUAGCGGCGGACGGGUGAGUAACACGUGGGUAACUUACCUAUAAGACUGGGAUAACUUCGGGAAACCGGAGCUAAUACCGGAUAAUAUUUCGAACCGCAUGGUUCGAUAGUGAAAGAUGGUUUUGCUAUCACUUAUAGAUGGACCUGCGCCGUAUUAGCUAGUUGGUAAGGUAACGGCUUACCAAGGCGACGAUACGUAGCCGACCUGAGAGGGUGAUCGGCCACACUGGAACUGAGACACGGUCCAGACUCCUACGGGAGGCAGCAGCC
rnacentral:rRNA from 1 species